GUGAGGAAUAUUGGGCAAUGGACGAAAGUCUGACCCAGCCAUGCCGCGUGGAGGAUGAAGGCCCUCUGGGUUGUAAACUUCUUUUAUUGGGGAAGAAAAGCACUGUUUCUACGGUGUCCGACGGUACCCAAGGAAUAAGCACCGGCUAACUCCGUGCCAGCAGCCGCGGUAAUACGGAGGGUGCAAGCGUUAUCCGGAUUUACUGGGUUUAAAGGGUGCGUAGGCGGGUUGGUAAGUCAGAGGUGAAAUCUCCAAGCUUAACUUGGAAACUGCCCCUGAUACUAUCAACCUUGAAUAUCGAUGAGGUGGGCGGAAUACAUCAUGUAGCGGUGAAAUGCUUAGAUAUGAUGUAGAACACCGAUUGCGAAGGCAGCUCACUAACCGAUUAUUGACGCUGAGGCACGAAAGCGUGGGGAUCAAACAGGAUUAGAAACCCUAGUAGUCC
rnacentral:rRNA from 1 species